UUUGCCAUCCAAGAGUGUGAAUUCACAAGUUGGAAGGGGGUUGGCGAGUAACAAAGGCAUGCAGCGUCCAGCCAAAGAAAACAAAGAAACUAUUAUUCUAGAACACUUCCAUAGAGAGCUACUAAUCACUAUUAGCAAAAUUUACCACAUGACCCAAGAGGUCGAAAAACGACUCAAGUUCAUCGAAGACUCACUAAAAGCAAAGGAGUUACACCUUCCAGGGGCUCAAAAUAACGGUCAUGGUGCGGACGGAGACGCACU